AUUGAACGCUGGCGGCAGGCCUAACACAUGCAAGUCGGACGGUAGCACAGAGGAGCUUGCUCCUCGGGUGACGAGUGGCGGACGGGUGAGUAAUGUCUGGGGAUCUGCCCGAUAGAGGGGGAUAACCACUGGAAACGGUGGCUAAUACCGCAUAACGUCGCAAGACCAAAGAGGGGGACCUUCGGGCCUCUCACUAUCGGAUGAACCCAGAUGGGAUUAGCUAGUAGGCGGGGUAACGGCCCACCUAUGCGACGAUCCCUAGCUGGUCUGAGAGGAUGACCAGUCACACUGGAACUGAGACACGGUCCAGACUCCUACGGGAGGCAGCAGUGGGGAAUAUUGCACAAUGGGCGCAAGCCUGAUGCAGCCAUGCCGCGUGUGUGAAGAAGGCCUUCGGGUUGUAAAGUACUUUCAGCGGGGAGGAAGGCGAUGUGGUUAAUAACCGCAUUGAUUGACGUUACCCGCAGAAGAAGCACCGGCUAACUCCGUGCCAGCCGCCGCGGUAA
rnacentral:rRNA from 1 species